ensembl:lncRNA
CAACUUUGUCCUUUAGCCGUCACUGAAAUUCCAGAUUUUCGUGACCCGGAAGUGUUUCUUUAAUGUUGCUCACAAGACGCAGAUGAAUGUGGUUCACUAUUUCAGUUCAAAUGGACACAUUCUAUUAAAGCACUUUACAAGAACACGUUGUUUUGGACGUACGGCAUGAGCUGAGGCCGAAGACUAACAAUAAAGAGACCAGGAUGUACAGUGGCCCUGGAGCUGAAGACUGAGAAAUUGCAGUGUCCAGACCCUGGUUCCUGUGGCGGAAACGCAGCGAGUUCCUGAAAAGGUUCCUAGUUCCUGCGGUGGAAACGAGGCUUUUUUUGGAGUCCCUGAUAGAGGAUGACGUCCCUUUGAAGAUGGACUGAGCGUCAUAGUGCCUCUGAAGUCUCGAAUCGCCUUCACACAGUCUCAAAAUGCAUCAAUGGAGCGCCUGUAUGCACUGCCAACUUGGGCUGUGAUAUUUACCCUUCCAAUAGUAAAUGUUAUCGAUCAGCGAGGAGAGUUCGAUGAUGGAAGAUGAGGCCCCAUUGAGACCAACAGCAGCUUCGAGUCGGGAACCAGCACCGGUGGCAGCACCGACAUAGUCAACUUCCAGCGAACCACCUGGGAAUCUAUUUUCUUCACAAAAAUGUAGAACCUGUGGAAGAAACAGCAUUGGGAGCAUGAGCCUCUAACUGUCCUAAUGGAGAUGCAGGAAGCAGAUGUGGAGCAGCAGGAACUGAACUGGGCUCAGCGUGAGCAGCACCUACAGUGGGUCAUCGAAGAUGUGGCACAUGCAAGGGAGCUGGAAGCAAACUUGAGGAGGGAGGACAAUGCUCAAACGGCAGCCUUCAAUUAAGCCUUCCUUGCUACACUGAGCCAGCUUGUACAGGCAUUGAAUGGCCAGCCUUCCCCGAAUCCGCUGCCUCUGGACCAUACCCCCUGUGCCAAAUAUGAUAUUUUAUACUUUGCACUACUUUGUAUUUGCACUACAUUUUACCUAUGUAUAUAGUUUGCUGUGUUGCACUGUUUUUUCAUCUUAACACUUUCAUUUCUGUAUAUAUUUUGCUAUUUUAUUGGCACAUUUUGUUAAAUUAAGUGUUGUACCUUGUUACAAAUGUAUUUGACCAUGGUUUCCAAUUUCAAGGGCAUUUAAUUGAAUAAAGUUAAUACAGAACCUUAUAAAAUACACACAGUUUUAAAACAAUGCGGAAAGGUGGAACAACACGUGUCAAUACAAUUCAGAGUUCUAUUCUCGUAACAGGAAAGACAAAAAUUACUAUUUUAGCUAUUCAAGUAGCGCAUCAGCCCCUCUCGUACAUCCCUGCCCAACUCCUCCACGCCCUCUGUCAAUGUCACCAUAUGCUCUGCUGCUACAGCUGCAUCCCACACAUUGUCAUAUGUCUCUCCAUGACUCUUGCAUAGGUUACGCAGAGCACAGCAAGUCAGCACCAUAGAUUUGACCAGUUCGACAUCAGUAAUUUCUCUUCAUGAGGCAACACCACCUUGCCUUCAAUCUACUAAAAGCACUUUCAACCACUAUCCGUGCUCUGGAGAUUUUCCUGGUCUAGAUCUGCUGCCGUUCAGUGUCAGAGAAUGGUUUUAUGAGCCAGUUCUGUAAGGGAUAUGCAGAGUCUCCUGGGACGUAGUAGCCCACAUUUACCUCACAAAUAUUCCUGGUGUAUGCUGGAAAAUGGUUGCCACGGCUGGUCAACUCCCUCAAUGUGGACAGUCUAAAACCCAAACUUCAUAUGCAAGCUCUUUCCCUUUCCGUCUACAACACCAUGAAGGAUGAUGGAAUGCCAGCCUUUAUGUGUAAAAUAGUCACAAAAGUACUCCUGUGGUGCCGUGAUGGGUAUGUGUGAACCGUCAAUAGCACCAAUACACUGCGGGAGUCCCCACCUGUUCUCAGUGUAUGUGGCCAUUUUUUAUAUCAUCUCUGGGUCUGGAAAACUCAUUUGUUCUGGUACCAACAAUAACUCUGCAGCAGCUCAGAACUGUUGCACACACCGACACACAGUUGUUAUGCUUAUUCCAAAAAGACGUCUGAAAUUUCUGUACUAGGAGCCAUUCGCAUGUUUCCACAGCACAAUGGCUACCCUCUACUUUAGAGGUACACGCCUGCAAAGUUUUUUUUUUUAGCCUUUCGAUCACUGGAUGAAGUUUGUUGCCCAGACAGAUUACUGUUUCUUCGGACAUUCUGAAGUUCUGCACCCACUGUGUUA